rnacentral:lncRNA from 8 species
GAUGGUUUUUGUGACUGCAUUUGAAGAAAAGUUCUUGAAAUAUUCCGUAUUGACUGACCUUCAUGUCUUACAGACCUUCAAGUCUGUCAUUUCUCUUUGCUUAUUUGAGAUGUUCUUGCCAUAGUAUGGACUUGGUCUUUUACCAAAUAGGGCAAUCUUCUGUAUACCACCCCUACCUUAUCACAAUACAACUGAUUGGUUCAAAUGCAUUAAGAAGGAAAUAAUUUCAACUAAUUAACUUUUAACAAGGCACACCUUUUAAUUGAAAUGCAUUCCAGGUAACUACCUCAUGAAGCUGGUUGGGAGAAUGCCAAGAGUGUAUUUCAAGAGUAUUUCUUGCUAUGUUUUCCAGGGUACUAAAGGGGAGCAGGGGGAACUGGGUUCUGUUGGCCUAAUUGUGAGUAGGACACUUCCAUCCUCUGGCUCUCAAGUGCUGACAAGUGCUGCUGUAUUGACUGUGCUGUUGGCAAUAAAGAUGGUGUGGAUAAUUAAGCUUUUGGAUGAUAACUGUUUUAAUUUCAGGGGCCGGUUGGUAAAAGAGGAACCCAAGGGUUUUCAGUGUCACCUAGGCCCCAGGUAAGACUUUGCAUAACAAUCCAUAAUCCUUACAGGACAUAGCUGUGUUACAAUCUAUGCAGACACACUCUUUGAUGGUGUAGUCUUCUAGAUCGUCCUCUCCAUGACUCUCUUCUCAUUAACAAUGUAUUUCAGGGCGAUUCUGGGUAUGAUGGUGCUCAAGGUCCACUCGGGCCAAUGGUGAGUGUAGGGGUGCCAUGCAAGCACUGACUGUUCACUAUCUCAUCUACCUACCUUACCUCCGCAGUCAGCACACACUUGAUUUGGCAAAUAUGUGCAGACGUACUACUUCCAGAGGAAGACAAUGGAUGAUGGUUGUUGUUUUUUAAUUGUUUGCAUAUUCACACAUGUACUGUAUGUGCCCGAACAGGGGGCCCCAGGUGUGACUGGCAUGAUAGGAGCACAGGGGUCAAACGGCUCAAGGAGAGAAGCAGGGCCAGCUGGACCACUUGGCUGUAAAGGGGGCCCCGGGUCCCAUAGGAUUGUCAGGAAAGAGAGGCUCUCCUGGUCUUCGAGGAAUCCAAGUAGGACAGGCCAGCUAACUUGCACAGCAAAUACACAGGCUCUGUGUCUUUCAUUUUCACUUAGUCAUUAUGAGUUUCGAUUUACUGAGUCAAGUAAAUAGGUGAAAUUAUGUUAUUAUAGAUAGUCAUUUUCAGUUGAUACAAUAAUAGCACUGGUGGAAAUCUCAAUGUUCUCGCCAGCUCCAUCAGACAUUGGAGGUUUCUUGUUGUGUUUUCCUGGUAUUUUCUUAGUAAUUGUCCAGUUAAGUCUGGGGCUGCCUGUUUAGUAUUUGGCAUGGUCUAGUCCCAAUGACUGUUCCUGCACACCCACCGCUGGCUCCUGGCAAGCAGAGUAAGACAGGGGUGUAGAGGUGAAAAUCCAUUUUAAAUAUCCAUCUCCUGGCUAGUCUCAGUCUAGCGAAACAUUAGCCAUAUCCAGUUGGCCUCAUGAAAAAACAGAACCAUGUGAUUCAGGUCCUGGGACAGGCUUUAUAAUCAUAUAUUUUUUUUUGUCAUAUUUUAUUUAACCUUUAUUUAACUAGGCAAGUCAGUUAAGAACAAAUUCUUAUUUACAAUGACGGCCUACCAAAAAUCCUCCUGCGGGGACGGGAUUAAUAAUAAAAAUAUAGGAGAAAAUUGUUCAGUAUUGCAAUCAUGCGAUCAUGUUGUAUGAUUUAGAUGUACUGUAUUAUCUAUUUAUAACAGGCUCUGACAUACACAAUGUGUAUGCAUACAAUUGCAUACAUCAUAAGUCAACUUUUUUGUUUGUUGCUGAAACAGUAUUGAAUGUUGUCAUGUAUUUUGUUCUCAGGGACAUCCGGUGAUGGAUGGUCUUCCGGGUCAAAAAGGUGACAGGGUAUGUUCAGCUACGUUAGUUUAAUUCAAUGAAUCUCUUGUCAAAAGUCACAUAGGCCCAGCCAUAAAUCAACCGCUACCUCUAUUCCCUUACACACUUGUUGAUGGCACCUGGUAGGGAGUUGGUUUAGUCUGUCUCAAAUUUGUCAUAUUGUGUGUGGUAAAUUAAAUUGAUUAAUUUCAAAUUCUAUUUGAUUAUAUAUAUUUCUAUUUCUCUAAAGGGUGAAGUGGGGCCCACAGGCAUGAAGGGAUUGCCAGGUCUUGAAGGGCCCAUGG